UGCCGUCCUCCUGUCACGGGUUUAAAACCUAAAAAACCUCCGUGGGAGGAAGAGGUAAAUAAAAUGCCACAUGCUUUAGUUCGUGUCACUGCAGCUGCAUCUGAACAAUCCGUAACGUGUGCGCUGACACGGUUUCAUGUGAGGGACCUCUUAGGAGUAGUUCACAAAAUCUAAGGAGGCUGUGGAUCAUGGUCUGAAAAGUGAUAUCAUCCAUAAGAAAUAUUUCUGUAAUUGAUUUAUAAAGACACCUAUUGAAGGAAAUCUACAACUCUGUUUCUUUCCAGUAUGCUUUUUGCCUUUAUCUUAAGGUGUGAGGCCCCUUAGAGCAGUUCGGCUGAGGACUGACACCAACUAGAGUAUCAUUAAAGGAAAUAUUGAAUAGAACAGAAAUGACAACAUACCCUUAUAGGAUGUCCCUGAAUAUGCUCUUCAGGUAAACAUCCCUGCUCAUUUUCCUUUUCCUGAAGAACCUGGUGGAGGUCAAAUAAUUGAAAGCAGAAGAAUGACAAGACCUACUACUAUUAUGUUUUCACAACAUUACUGCCAUUUUAAAUAAAUAAAGGGCUCAGUUUAGUCAACGUCCAUGUAUCAG